rnacentral:miRNA from 1 species
AAAAAUCUCAUCAACGGGAAGGAUUCCCUUCCGGUUGAUGGGGUAUCACAACCUCAUUGACCGGAAGGGAUUCCUUCCAAUUGAUGGGGUUGUU